GAAUAAUUCAAAUGCAGAUUGUGUUUCAAUAGUAUUUCAUUAAUGAAUAAUAGCAUAUAGUUAUCGGUCUAACUGUUUUCUGUUAACUGUUUCUGAAAUGUUUAAAUACAAGGAUGAAUCUAGAAUUUGGGUUUUCCUUUACAAGGUGCCCUAUGCUCAAAAUAUUUUGAAUUUUAAAAUGUAUGGCGCUCUUAUUUUUUUAACUUUAUCCAUGUAUAUAUAUUUUCCAGUCAUAUAAAUAUUCAAACUACAAUAAUCAAUACUGUUCAAAAUUGUUUACAAGAAAAUUACAAACUUAUAUAAUCAAUAAAGUUGCAUUCGAUAUACUAUACCUAGAAAAUUAAUAUAUUAUACUGUGAAGUAUAUCAUUAACCACUUCUAAUUCAUAAUUUAAUGCGUUAAGCAGCAAGAAAGUAUAUAAGAUACGCGAUAUCGCGGCUUUUGUAUAUUCAGCAAAAUGAACUUCUCUUGGGCACUACUUUUCAUGAUUGGAGCUGCAGUGGCAAGUUUUACAUUUGAGGCGGACCAGGCCCCCGGUGAUAUUCAAGAAUGAGCAGCAACACUAAUGGAAGCUCAAUACAAAUUGGUUUUAUAAAAGUAUGAGUAUAUCAUAAUAAACAAAGCAUACAUUUAUUUCAUAA